rnacentral:lncRNA from 1 species
AUAGGCAUUGUAGUUUGCCUCAGCAUCCUGCAGCUGCUUUUGAAGGUUGGAGAAUUUGAUCGACCAGUCUCGAUCGCAUUCGACCUGAGUUGCGAGCCAGGACGAGCUCCCUUCCAAUUGGUCGAUCUUUUCUCAUGCAGCUGCCAGCAUAACUUCAAGAGAGCUGAUCUUGGAAGCUUGAGUCCAAGAUCGGUCGCUGGCGCAUUUUC